GUACUAUUUUAACAUUUGUCCAAGUAUUUUGUUUCUAUUUAUUAAGGUACCUCUGAGGAUGUUCUGGCUUUGCUUUUGUUUGUUUGUUUUGUUUUGGCUUGUUUGUUUGUUUUUGCUAUGGAUCUUGGGUUUUUUGUGUGUGCACAAAAACCACCUAUUACAACAACUAACUCAGCAAUGAGGACAGGCUGGAGCCUGGAAGCUUGCUGCAGCUUCCAGUUCACUAUUGCUUGAUGUUCUUUGCAGAGACUGUGCUCUUGGGCAGUGUCACUUUAGCACAACCUCACUACUGGACGCCUACCUUGACUUUCUGAGUGUGAGGUGCUCCAUGACGAGCUUUCAGCUGGUGGGCAAGGAGCGUGCUGCAACGCCUUGCGUGUCUCUGACAGUCUGGAUUUCCAGCCAGCAGCUGGUUGAGCGGGGAGGACGGGAGAGCCCAAGAGCAUUGCAGUCCUUUCUUCUACCAAAAGAUGGAGUGAAUGAGCUACUGAACAGCCUGUGCAGCUAAGAGAUUCGCUAAGCAGGUUUUUCAUUUCCAUUGUUCACACCUGAAUUCCCUAUGAGAUGCUGGCAAAAGAGCUUCUCCCAUCAACAACGCAAGCAUGAAAGGGGUAGCUUUCCUGGACUUCAUUCUUCUGUCUUUGCCACUGUGUUUGCUCCACUUAGUGUCUGCCUUUGUGCCGACGGACUCUCAUUAUUUCUCUCAGCAGGUUUCCUGAGGCUAUCCCUUGGAAACCCAUUAAAUCUGAAGAAGAAACCAAAGCGUAGUCUCCCAGGGCUGACUUCAAGGGUGCAGCGAAAGUCCAGAUCUCUAAUGCAUCCCUUUCCCCUCAUUCCUGACAUGCAUCUUGCGUGGACUCAGUGUAUAAACCAUCCCCAAGCGUUCCUUCUGCCAGGGUCUCUUAUAUUCAUACCUCUGGCUCUCCUCAGGCAGCAGCAUGAAGCCGGCAUGAAUCUUAUAUUGUUUGCUACUCGUCGCCUCUUCAAACACUCCAGAGGAGUGUUCCUUAUUCCACAGAAAUCACAGGCAGCCGUUCUUCUUAGAGGUGCUUUGUGCUGCUUCCUGCUCAGCCUGGGAAGGUGGAGUUACGCUGACCUACUCUAA
ensembl:lncRNA